rnacentral:rRNA from 1 species
GGCGCACGGGUGAGUACGCGUGGAUAAUCUGCCUUUCAGUUGGGAAUAACGUACCGAAAGGUGCGCUAAUACCGAAUAAUACUGAGUGACUACUGUCGCUUAGUCAAAGAAGGCCUCUGUUUACAAGCUUUUGCUGAAAGAUGAGUCCGCGUACCAUUAGCUGGUUGGUGGGGUAAUGGCCUACCAAGGCGACUGAUGGUUAGCUGGUCUGAGAGGAUGAUCAGCCUCUCUGGAACUGAGACACGGUCCAGACUCCUACGGGAAGCAGCAGUGAGGAAUAUUGCGCAAUGGGGGCAACCCUGACGCAGCAACGACGCGUGAGUGAGGAAGGUCGCCGGAUCGUAAAGCUCUGUCGAGCGGGAAGAAGUGCAUCAUGGCUAAUAUCCAUGAUGCUUGACGGU